UACGUAGGGGGCAAGCGUUGUCCGGAUUUAUUGGGCGUAAAGAGCGUGUAGGCGGCCUGAAAGGUCAGCUGUGAAAACUCGAGGCUCAACCUCGAGACGUCGGUUGAAACCAUCUGGCUAGAGUCCGGAAGAGGAGUGUGGAAUUCCCGGUGUAGCGGUGAAAUGCGCAGAUAUCAGGAGGAACACCAAUGGCGAAGGCAGCUCGCUGGGACGUGACUGACGCUGAGACGCGAAAGCGUGGGGAGCAAACAGG
rnacentral:rRNA from 1 species